rnacentral:rRNA from 1 species
CAGUGGGGAAUUUUGGACAAUGGGCGCAAGCCUGAUCCAGCAAUGCCGCGUGUGUGAAGAAGGCCUUCGGGUUGUAAAGCACUUUUGUCCGGAAAGAAAACCUUUGCCCUAAUACGGUGGGGGGAUGACGGUACCGGAAGAAUAAGCACCGGCUAACUACGUGCCAGCAGCCGCGGUAAUACGUAGGGUGCAAGCGUUAAUCGGAAUUACUGGGCGUAAAGCGUGCGCAGGCGGUUCGUUAAGACAGAUGUGAAAUCCCCGGGCUUAACCUGGGAACUGCAUUUGUGACUGGCGGGCUAGAGUAUGGCAGAGGGGGGUAGAAUUCCACGUGUAGCAGUGAAAUGCGUAGAGAUGUGGAGGAAUACCGAUGGCGAAGGCAGCCCCCUGGGCCAAUACUGACGCUCAUGCACGAAAGCGUGGGGAGCAAACAGGAUUAGA